GAAGGCGCUGCGCUGACCGCAAGGAGGCAGGCGACCACGGUAGGGUCAGCGACUGGGGUGAAGUCGUAACAAGGUAGCCGUAGGGGAACCUGCGGCUGGAUCACCUCCUUUCUAAGG
rnacentral:rRNA from 1 species